rnacentral:tRNA from 1 species
AAAAAGUUAGUUAAGCUAUAAUAUAAGGUUGUCAGCCUUAUGUCACUAAUUAAACUUAGUACUUUUUA